rnacentral:rRNA from 1 species
GACGAACGCUGGCGGCGUGCCUAAUACAUGCAAGUAGAACGCUGAAGGAGGAGCUUGCUUCUCUGGAUGAGUUGCGAACGGGUGAGUAACGCGUAGGUAACCUGCCUGGUAGCGGGGGAUAACUAUUGGAAACGAUAGCUAAUACCGCAUAACAGUAGAUAUCGCAUGAUAUCUACUUGAAAGGUGCAAUUGCAUCACUACCAGAUGGACCUGCGUUGUAUUAGCUAGUUGGUGAGGUAACGGCUCACCAAGGCGACGAUACAUAGCCGACCUGAGAGGGUGAUCGGCCACACUGGGACUGAGACACGGCCCAGACGCCUACGGGAGGCAGCAGGAGGGAAUCUUCGGCAAUGGACGGAAGUCUGACCGAGCAACGCCGCGGGAGUGAAGAAGGGUGUCGGAUCGUAAAGCUCGGUUGUAAGAGAAGAACGAGUGUGAGAGUGGAAAGUUCACACUGUGACGGUAUCUUACCAGAAAGGGACGGCUAACUACGUG